AUCCUGGUAUCUUAGGCGUAGUGGAACCACACCAAUCCAUCCCGAACUUGGUGGUGAAACUCUACCGCGGUGACAAUACUGUAGAGGAAGCUCUACGGGAAAAUAACUCGAUGCCAGGAUCACUUCUUGAAUCUUUUCUU
rnacentral:rRNA from 1 species